AGAGAGAUGGCUCAGAGGUUAAGAGCGCUGAGUGCUCCUCCAGAGGACCCAGGUUCAAUUCCCAGCUCUCUCUG
rnacentral:tRNA from 1 species